GCAGCUGGGGACUGGCAGGACACCUCAGUCACCAACUUAAGGUAUUCUAAGAACACAGACACAUACUGUAUAAAUGUACAGCUACUGAUGAAGUUCUGUUGUAGCAUGAGAUGCUCAUACAUCAUCUUGGAAGGGAAAAAACAGAUCAUCCCAAAGUUGCAGCUCUUUUGCAGAGCCUAUCUUAUCAGUUAUGGGCUGAAGGGCCCACAGAUGUAGGAUUAACCCCCUGCGCCCCAGUUUCUAUUCAGGUUGCAUCUCCCUCGCUUAUUUGGGUUCCACAGUAUCCGCCCAAAAACUAAGCUCGGGAAGGCAUCAGAGACACCAUUGAAGGCCUGAAGGCAGCAGGUGUGUUAGAAACCUCAGCCUCAGCAUGGAACACACCCAUCCUUCCUGUAGAGAAAAAAGCAGAAGAGUGCAGAGACAUUUUUCCUUCACCUAUUGUGGGGAGCAGCUGCGCUUCACCUGUCUGCCACAAGGGUUCGCCCUUUCCCCAGAUGAUAUACAUCACAGGAUAGAAAACUAUGGCAAAGCAAUGUACAAGUGGACCACAGCCAAGCGUCCCAGGAUGGACUGUUAAUACACUGUUCAGAUGGCGACUCAAACCUUAUGGCACCUAAAGAUCCAGAUUCAUGCAAGACAUUACUGAGAGCAGCUGAAAUAAGAGUUCAUAGACCCAUUCCUGUCCUUGCCAAAGACUUACCUGCACAUGAAAUAUUAUAGCAUCUUUACUAUGAAGAAGGAGCUUAAAAGAAUGCAGAUCCAAAGUAAAAUUUCUGUAGAUAGAUCGUACACAGAAGACCAAUCCACCCAACAAGAUCCAGUCACAUCAAGAGUGUAUGAAGCCAAAUGUAUUAUUUGUGUGCAAUGCAGCAAGUAUUUGAAGGGUCAGAAGAUAAAGGAGAGUCUGACAAAAUGCAGUUAGGAGCUGAUCACACACUAAAGCAAGCAGCUGAAGGCAAAGGUGAUACCAGGAUGCCAGCCAUAGUUGUUAAACAUAAGCAGCAGAAUGUCAUUACCACCGAUCCUGCUACAGACUGUACACAAAGGACCAAAAAAAUAAAAAUAAAUUGUUGACACUAACAUGGAUGAGGCAGAAUCACCUUAUCAGUGAAAUGAUGGGAGUCCAAAACGGUUUUACAUUCAUUAUGGAAGACACACGGGAUACCUAAUACAAAAAGAUACCUAAGACGCAAAGUUGAUGCGAAAUUCAGGAAAUCUUUACAUAUCACGCCUUAUGAGCCAAAACAACUUUUGAUAUACCCUAACAGUUUGACAAUGACUGAAUUUGUAAAGGUUUACCAAGAACUCAAAGAUGAACUGAGUUUCCAAAUCAAGCAUUGCUUAAGUAUGGUCACCACAUGUGUCAGAUCUUAAGAAAAAGAACUGUGCCAUCUAAGGAAGUGCAAAGCCUCACAACAUCAUUCUGCCAAGACCUGGUUAAUGCUGUUACAUGUGGCAAAGUCAGGUCUACUAAACACAUUGUUUUGCCUUUUGCUGUCAAGUGACUCAUUGGAAAUGAUAUACAUACUGAACGGACUUGGACAUAGCGUUUCAUAUUCCCAGGAAGAGGAAAUUGACACAGCCCUGUGUGUUUAGAAGGAAGUGGGGAUGCCAUCUCACUACCACAAAAUAUCAAGCCUGGUCGGUUCACAACACUGGCAUGGUACAAUAUGACAGACUGGUGGAAACUCUCAGUGGUAAAGGGACAACACACAGAGUGAAUGGAAUUGCAGUGCAAGGAAAAUCUAUUGCUGAUUAUCAUUUGCCUUGCAUCCCCAAAACCAAGAAGAGAAGCACUGGAGCAGUAGAGGCUUUGCUCUACAAAUUUACAAUAUAGGAGAGCAUGCCAGUCCUCCGGUUGUCUGUACAACUGGCUUAUUCCAUGCUGAUCACACGGCUGUUCUACAGGACGCUUCAGACCAAAGAAACAUGUGGCUGAUAUCUCGUCAAUUUAACAAGGAUGUCUGUAACUGCACUGAGUUUAACAUCAUCACUCGCAGCAAUACAAGUGUACAAGAACUUAGUAUCGGCUAUUUGCCAAGAAUCAACGCUCCUGCCACACAGCUGUCAACAGUAAAUAAGAUUCUUCACCAGUUGAUGAGCAUCAUGAAGUCUCUGAAACACCAGGUGAGGAAUUCAAGGACAUCAUUUUUUGAAUACCACCUGCCUUUCCAUGGCAACAAUUAGAAAAUGUUUUGCAGAUGUAGUCUAAGUGACCAUGGCAAAGAAGCAGGAGUGAUAGCUGAUGGCUCAAUCAUGGGGGUUAUUAAUGGUCACAGGUAUAACCAAGCAAUAAGACUCCACAAACAGCUUCAUGAGGCUUUUGUGAAACUAGCCUGAAAAUAGUUUUAUCUCUGGUUAGAAGAGAAUAAAACUGAAGAGCUCAUUUACUUUGAAGAAACUCUGUAAGAAAUCGGCAACCUGUGUAAUCAAGUAUCACAGUCAAGAUUUGAGGAAACCCUUGGGUAAGAGUCAUUCCAGCUCACUUUUAUACAUUUCAAUGAACUCCUCAACUAUCUCAGAGGAGACAAUGGUCCCCUCUCAGCUUUCUGGAUGUCUUCCAUGGGCAUGGUUGAGAUUUUGGGGGUAUGAUAAUUGUUUCACAAAGUAUAGAUCUUCAUAUUAAGGAUGCCCUGGCCUGUUCUCCUGCUCCACUGCCUCGGACACUUUCAAAUCCAGAUGUCUCACUGCAGAAAACUGACAAGGCUGCUUGUAAGGAAUGUAUGAUCAUUUGAUUGUAUAACAUUCAUUAAAAAUUAGAAAUAAAAAUCAUAA